rnacentral:rRNA from 1 species
AACGAACGCUGGCGGCAGGCCUAACACAUGCAAGUCGAACGAGACCUUCGGGUCUAGUGGCGCACGGGUGCGUAACGCGUGGGAACCUGCCCUUAGGUUCGGAAUAACGCCCCGAAAGGGGUGCUAAUACCGGAUAAUGUCUUCCGACCAAAGAUUUAGCGCCUUUGGAUGGGCCCGCGUUGGAUUCGCUAGUUGGUAGGGUAAAAGCGUACCAAGGCGACGAUCGAUAGCUGGUCUGAGAGGAUGAUCAGCCACACUGGUACUGAGACACGGCCCAGAAUCCUACGGGAGGCAGCAGUGGGGAAUCUUGGACAGUGGGCGAAAGCAUGAUCCAGCAAUGCCGCGUGAGUGAUGAAGGCCUUAGGGUUGUAAAGCUCUUUUACACGGGAUGAUAAUGACAGUACCGGGAGAAUAAGCUCCGGCUAACUCCGUG